AGUGAACGCUGGCGGUAGGCCUAACACAUGCAAGUCGAACGGCAGCACAGUAAGAGCUUGCUCUUACGGGUGGCGGGUGGCGGACGGGUGAGGAAUACAUCGGAAUCUACUUUUUCGUGGGGGAUAACGUAGGGAAACUUACGCUAAUACCGCAUACGACCUACGGGUGAAAGCAGGGGAUCUUCGGACCUUGCGCGAUUGAAUGAGCCGAUGUCGGAUUAGCUAGUUGGCGGGGUAAAGGCCCACCAAGGCGACGAUCCGUAGCUGGUCUGAGAGGAUGAUCAGCCAAACUGGAACUGAGACACGGUCCAGACUCCUACGGGAGGCAGCAGUGGGGAAUAUUGGACAAUGGGCGCAAGCCUGAUCCAGCCAUACCGCGUGGGUGAAGAAGGCCUUCGGGUUGUAAAGCCCUUUUGUUGGGAAAGAAAAGCAGCAGGUUAAUACCCCGCUGUUCUGACGGUACCCAAAGAAUAAGCACCGGCUAACUUCGUG
rnacentral:rRNA from 1 species